GUCUUUGGCGUUGUGGUCAGUGCGCGUGACUCUUACCCGAGAGUUUGGGGUUCAAACCCCCGCCUGAGACC